rnacentral:rRNA from 1 species
UUCCGGUUGAUCCCGCCGGACCUGAUUGCUAUCGGAUUGGUACUAAGCCAUGCGAGUAAGUGUAGCAAUACACUGCAGACGGCUCAGUAACACGUGGUCAAGCUAACCUAUGGACGUGGAUAACCUCGGGAAACUGAGAAUAAACCGCGAUAGAUCAUGAUGCCUGGAAUGGCUCAUGGUCGAAAUAGUUUACUGCCGUAGGAUGCGACUGCGGCCUAUCAGUUUGUUGGUGAGGUAAUGGCCCACCAAGACUAUUACAGGUACGGGCUCUGAGAGGAGAAGCCCGGAGAUGGGUACUGAGACACGGACCCAGACCCUAUGGGGCGCAGCAGGCGAGAAACCUUAGCAAUGUGCGAAAGCACGACUGGGUUAGUCCGAGUGAUUCCUGCUAAAGGAAUCUUUUGCCGGUCCUAAAAGCACCGGUGAAUAAGGGGUGGGCAAGUCUGGUGUCAGCCGCCGCGGUAAUACCAGCACCUCGAGUGAUCAGGACGUUUAUUGGGCCUAAAGCAUCCGUAGCUGGCUUUGCAAGUCUCCGGUUAAAUCAACCUGCUCAACAGAUUGGCCGCUGGAGAUACUACAAGGCUAGGGAGUGGGAGAGGCAGACGGUAUUCGGGGGGUAGGGGUAAAAUCCUCUGAUCCUCUGAGGACCACCAGUGGCGAAGGCGGUCUGCCAGAACACGUUCGACAGUGAGGGAUGAAAGCUGGGGGAGCAAACCGGAUUAGAUACCCGGGUAGUCCCAGCUGUAAACGAUGCAAACUCGGUGAAGCAUUGGCUUAAUGCUAAUGCUGUGCCGCAGGGAAGCCGUUAAGUUUGCCGCCUGGGAAGUACGGUCGCAAGAUUGAAACUUAAAGGAAUUGGCGGGGGAGCACCACAAGGGGUGAAGCCUGCGGUUCAAUUGGAUUCAACGCCGGG